rnacentral:rRNA from 1 species
UCCUGGCUCAGGACGAACGCUGGCGGCGUGCUUAACACAUGCAAGUCAAGGGGGCCCGCAAGGGCAACCGGCGAACGGGUGCGUAACACGUGAGCAAGUUUCCUAUUAGUGGGGGAUAGCCGGCCCAACGGCCGGGUAAUACCGCAUAUCUUCACCGGGUGGCAUCGUCUGGUGAGGAAACCUCCGGGGCUAAUAGAGGCGCUCGCGGCCUAUCAGCUAGUUGGUGGGGUAACGGCUCACCAAGGCUAUGACGGGUAGCUGGUCUGAGAGGAUGGCCAGCCACAUUGGGACUGCGACACGGCCCAGACUCCUACGGGAGGCAGCAGUGGGGAAUAUUGCGCAAUGGACGAAAGUCUGACGCAGCGACGCCGCGUGUGGGAUGAAGCCUUUCGGGCGUAACCACUGUUGCCGGACGAACAUCCCCUUUCGAGGGGACUGACGGUACCGGGUGAGGAAGCACCGGCUAACUCUGUGCCAGCAGCCGCGGUAAUACAGAGGGUG